rnacentral:rRNA from 1 species
AGUGAACGCUGGCGGUAGGCCUAACACAUGCAAGUCGAACGGCAGCACAGUAAGAGCUUGCUCUUACGGGUGGCGAGUGGCGGACGGGUGAGGAAUACAUCGGAAUCUACUUUUUCGUGGGGGAUAACGUAGGGAAACUUACGCUAAUACCGCAUAUGACCUACGGGUGAAAGCAGGGGAUCUUCGGACCUUGCGCGAUUCAAUUAGCCGAUGUCGGAUUAGCUAGUUGGCGAGGUAAAGGCCCACCAAGGCAACGAUCCGUAGCUGGUCUGAGAGGAUGAUCAGCCACACUGGAACUGAGACACGGUCCAGACUCCUACGGGAGGCAGCAGUGGGGAAUAUUGGACAAUGGGCGCAAGCCUGAUCCAGCCAUACCGCGUGGGUGAAGAAGGCCUUCGGGUUGUAAAGCCCUUUUGUUGGGAAAGAAAAGCAGCAGGUUAAUACCCCGCUGUUCUGACGGUACCCAAAGAAUAAGCACCGGCUAACUUCGUG